UACGAAGGCCCCAAGCGUUAUCCGGAAUUACUGGGCGUAAAGCGUCUGUAGGUGGUUUCUUAAGUCUUUCCGUGAAACUUCGGGGCUCAACCCUGAAUUGCGGGAGAAACUGGGAAACUUGAGUGUGGGAGAGGCUAGCAGAACGGUAAGAGUAGGGGUGCAAUCCGUUGAUACUUACCAGAAUACCAAAAGCGAAGGCAGCUAGCUGGAACACUACUGACACUGAGAGACGAAAGCGUGGGGAGCAAAAGGG
rnacentral:rRNA from 1 species